UUCGUGUAUACAAUUUAGUGGGUAAGGACAGCGGCUUUGGUGGCGCCGUUUGAUAGAGCUACGAAGUUAUGAAAACAAGAGAGCUUGUCUUUAGUUUGAGUUCAAUUCAGAGACUCAACCUGAAUGUCGGCUUUUAAGACUUGCUCAGAUGGGUCUUGGACAUGAAGGAGCUCAUCUUCAUGGGAGAGAGUUUUGAAAUUGGGUCUUGAAAAUGAUGGAUUUAUUCGUAGUUGACUGGUCCUUCUAAAUGGAGGGAAACUGAAGAGGCCAAGAACCUGUUUGAUGAAAUGCUUACAAGAGCCUCUGUCACAAGG